rnacentral:rRNA from 1 species
GACGAACGCUGGCGGCGUGCUUAACACAUGCAAGUCGAACGGUGAAGCGCCUUCCUUUUUGGUGGGUGUGGAUGAGUGGCGAACGGGUGAGUAACACGUGAGUAACCUGCCCCCUUCUUCUGGAUAACCGCAUGAAAGUGUGGCUAAUACGGGAUAUUCUGGGUCUGUCGCAUGAUGGGUCUGGGAAAGAUAUUGUUUCGGUGGGGGAUGGGCUCGCGGCCUAUCAGCUUGUUGGUGGGGUGAUGGCCUACCAAGGCGGUGACGGGUAGCCGGCCUGGGAGGGUGGACGGUCACACUGGGACUGAGACACGGCCCAGACUCCUACGGGAGGCGGCAGUGGGGAAUAUUGCACAAUGGGCGCAAGCCUGAUGCAGCGACGCCGCGGGAGGGAUGGAGGCCGUCGGGUUGUGAACCUCUUUCGCCAGUGAAGCAGGCCUGCCUCGUUUGUGGGUGGGUUGACGGUAGCUGGAGAAGAAGCGCCGGCUAACUACGUG